rnacentral:rRNA from 1 species
AUUGAACGCUGGCGGCAGGCCUAACACAUGCAAGUCGAGCGGAUGACGGGAGCUUGCUCCUUGAUUCAGCGGCGGACGGGUGAGUAAUGCCUAGGAAUCUGCCUGGUAGUGGGGGACAACGUUUCGAAAGGAACGCUAAUACCGCAUACGUCCUACGGGAGAAAGCAGGGGACCUUCGGGCCUUGCGCUAUCAGAUGAGCCUAGGUCGGAUUAGCUUGUUGGUGAGGUAAUGGCUCACCAAGGCGACGAUCCGUAACUGGUCUGAGAGGAUGAUCGGUCACCCUGGAACUGAGACACGGUCCAGACUCCUACGGGAGGCAGCAGUGGGGAAUAUUGGAAAAUGGGCGAAAGCCUGAUCCAGCCAUGCCGCGUGUGUGAAGAAGGUCUUCGGAUUGUAAAGCACUUUAAGUUGGGAGGAAGGGUUGUAGAUUAAUACUCUGCAAUUUUGACGUUACCGACAGAAUAAGCACCGGCUAACUCUGUGCCAGCCGCCGCAGUAACAC